CCCUUAGAUGUCCCGGGCUGCACGCGCGCUACACUGAUGUGUCCAGUAAGCACCUAACCUCUUCCGAAAGGAACGGGUAACCUUUGCAAAGCACAUCGUGAUGGGGAUAGAUUGUUGCAAUUAUUAGUCUUGAACGAGGAAUUCCUAGUAAGCACAAGUCAUCAGCUUGUGUUGAUUACGUCCCUGCCCUUUGUACACACCGCCCGUCGCUCCUACCGAUUGAAUGUUCCGGUGAGCUCUUCGGACUGCGCGGUCUGCAGUUUCUGCGUUCCGUGCGGAAAGUUGCGCAAACCUUAACAUUUAGAGGAAGGAGAAGUCGUAACA
rnacentral:rRNA from 1 species